rnacentral:lncRNA from 1 species
UGUAAUACUGCAUUAAGCUCUACAUUUUGAGCUGAUUGUUUGGGUACUAAAAAUUUAAAAGUUUGAUCAGGUGUACCUAUUCCUGCUGUACCAUUAUUUGACCCAUAAGUGAAUAUAUUUGGAGCAUUCAUGAUAGGUGUUAUUCUUGUCAUUUUUUGAAAAAUUACAGGAUGCGAUGACCAAAAAGAUAAUAAAGGAUUAGAUGGUAAGUGGUUAUCAAAUGAAACAUUAGAUUUGCACAUGAUUAUUGCCCAAGUAUUUAACUCAUUAGCUAACUCAUCAAUUUGAUCCAUAGUAUAUGGAGUAAUAAUUUUAUUGGGAGAAAUUCCAAACACUCCCUUUGCUGCUUUUUUUUCUUUUAGUAUUAAUUGUCCUACAGCCUCAGGAUACCUAGUAAGAAUAGUGUCAGUAGCAUAAGAUAAAUGUAUCCAUAAUAAUGGACCUUCUUACCAAAAUACCCCUGUAGGAAUAUUUUUUGUUGGUAGUACAUUAAAUAAUAAAGGCAAACUUAUAUCAAUUCUAUCCAAAUGCAUAUUUUCCAUAUAUGUUUCAAUGAUUUUUAAUGCCUUUCUUGCUUCAGGUGUUAACAUUCAGGGUGAAUUUGGAUCUGAUGGACCUUUUAGGAUAUCAGAUAAAGGUCCCAAGACUCCUGUUGGUAUACCUAGAU